rnacentral:rRNA from 1 species
GCCUAACACAUGCAAGUCGAACGAGACCUUCGGGCUUAGUGGCGCACGGGUGCGUAACGCGUGGGAAUCUGCCCUUGGGUUCGGAAUAACAGUUAGAAAUUUCUGCUAAUACCGGAUGAUGACGAAAGUCCAAAGAUUUAUCGCCCAAGGAUGAGCCCGCGUAGGAUUAGGUAGUUGGUGAGGUAAAGGCUCACCAAGCCGAUGAUCCUUAGCUGGUCUGAGAGGAUGAUCAGCCACACUGGGACUGAGACACGGCCCAGACUCCUACGGGAGGCAGCAGUGGGGAAUAUUGGACAAUGGGCGAAAGCCUGAUCCAGCAAUGCCGCGUGAGUGAUGAAGGCCUUUGGGUUGUAAAGUUCUUUUACCCGGGAUGAUAAUGACAGUACCGGGAGAAUAAGCCCCGGCUAACUCCGUGCCAGCAGCCGCGGUAAU